UGGGGAAUAUUGGACAAUGGGCGCAAGCCUGAUCCAGCCAUGCCGCGUGUGUGAAGAAGGCCUUUUGGUUGUAAAGCACUUUAAGCGAGGAGGAGGCUACUUGGAUUAAUACUCUAGGAUAGUGGACGUUACUCGCAGAAUAAGCACCGGCUAACUCUGUGCCAGCAGCCGCGGUAAUACAGAGGGUGCGAGCGUUAAUCGGAUUUACUGGGCGUAAAGCGUGCGUAGGCGGCUUCUUAAGUCGGAUGUGAAAUCCCUGAGCUUAACUUAGGAAUUGCAUUCGAUACUGGGAAGCUAGAGUAUGGGAGAGGAUGGUAGAAUUCCAGGUGUUGCGGUGAAAUGCGUAGAGAUCUGGAGGAAUACCGAUGGCGAAGGCAGCCAUCUGGCCUAAUACUGACGCUGAGGUACGAAAGCAUGGGGAGCAAACAGG
rnacentral:rRNA from 1 species